GUUUGAUCCUGGCUCAGGACGAAACGCUGGCGGCGUGCCUAACACAUGCAAGUCGAACGGAGUCCAAGAGAGCUUGCUCUCGAACGACUUAGUGGCGAACGGGUGAGUAACUACGUGAGAAACCUGCCCCAGACUCGGGGAUAACCCAGGGAAACCUGGGCUAAUACCGGAUACCCUCUAAGGCUCGCAUGGGCCACUGAGGAAAGAUUUAUCGGUCUGGGAGGGUCUCGCGGCCUAUCAGCUAGUUGGUGAGGUAACGGCUCACCAAGGCUACGACGGGUAGCUGGUUUGAGAGAACGAUCAGCCACACUGGAACUGAGACACGGUCCAGACUCCUACGGAGGCAGCAGUGGGGAAUCUUGCGCAAUGGGCGAAAGCCUGACGCAGCAACGCCGCGUGCGGGAUGACGG
rnacentral:rRNA from 1 species